GGCUUUGCGUAGUGGCAGUAUUGUAUCCAAUAAAGUUUAUCCGAGUGCGAUUAUUGCUAGUUGAAAACUAUUAUCAAUACCCCGCCCUGGUGAGCGAGACGUCACUCGUGGCAAUUUCUGUAGGGUUCUGCAGAAU